UGCAUGUCUAAGUACAAGCCGUUAAACGGCGAAACCGCGAAUGGCUCAAUAAAUCAGUUAUGGUUCCUUAGAUCUUACUAUCCUACUUGGAUAACUGUGGUAAUUCUAGAGCUAAUACAUGCACUCAAGCCCCGACUCUCGGCGUCGAAAGAUGCCGGGCAGAAGGGGUGCUUUUAUUAGAUCAAAACCAAUCGGGGCAUUAAACCGUUGAGUGGCUGCGUUUGGAGGCUUUCGGGUCGACACACACACCACGCAUCGGCGUCCCGUUCCAUUUGGUGACUCUGAAUAACUUUUCGCUGAUCGCACGGUCUUUAGUACCGGCGACGCAUCUUUCAAAUGUCUGCCUUAUCAACUUUCGAUGGUAGGUUAUGCGCCUACCAUGGUUGCAACGGGUAACGGGGAAUCGGGGUUCGAUUCCGGAGAGGGAGCCUGAGAAACGGCUACCACAUCCAAGGAAGGCAGCAGGCGCGCAAAUUACCCACUCCCGGCACGGGGAGGUAGUGACGAAAAAUAACGAUACGGGACUCUUCCGAGGCCCCGUGAUUGGAAUGAGUACACUUUAAAUCCUUUAACGAGGACCCAUUGGAGGGCAAGUCUGGUGCCAGCAGCCGCGGUAACUCCAGCUCCAAAAGCGUAUAUUAAAGUUGUUGCGGUUAAAAAGCUCGUAGUUGGAUUCCUGUCUUCGGCCGGGCGGUGCCGCCUGAUAAUCAAAGGGCGAUCGCACUGCCUUGGGAGUGUUGGUGUCAAAGCCGCACUCUUUUAACGGUCGGACAAUACCACCGGAGUGGUGUUUUGUUGUCUGUGGUGGCGGUUUCGGCCUACAUCGCAGACGGCGCACCCGUAAUCGUUCGAGGUGCCCUUAACCGGGUGUCUCGAGCGGCCGGUAACGUUUACUUUGAACAAAUUAGAGUGCUCAAAGCAGGUGCAUAAAUUUCGCCUGAAUAUCACAGCAUGGAAUGAUGGAAUAGGACCUCGGUCUUAUUUUGUUGGUUUUCUCUAGACCCGAGGUAAUGGUUAAUAGAGACAGACGGGGGCAUUCGUACUGCGACGCUAGAGGUGAAAUUCUUGGACCGUCGCAAGACGAACGACUGCGAAAGCAUUUGCCAAGAAUGUUUUCAUUAAUCAAGAACGAAAGUUAGAGGUUCGAAGGCGAUCAGAUACCGCCCUAGUUCUAACCAUAAACGAUGCCAACCAGCGAUCCGCCGAAGUUACUCCCAUGACUCGGCGGGCAGCUUCCGGGAAACCAAAGUCUUUGGGUUCCGGGGGAAGUAUGGUUGCAAAGCUGAAACUUAAAGGAAUUGACGGAAGGGCACCACCAGGAGUGGAGCCUGCGGCUUAAUUUGACUCAACACGGGAAACCUCACCAGGCCCGGACACUGGAAGGAUUGACAGAUUGAGAGCUCUUUCUUGAUUCGGUGGGUGGUGGUGCAUGGCCGUUCUUAGUUGGUGGAGCGAUUUGUCUGGUUAAUUCCGAUAACGAACGAGACUCUAGCCUGCUAAAUAGGUGGCGGGUUUAUUCUAAAAAAUUGGGUUGGGUGUUCGUCGGGAUACGAGUUCGGAUCGACGAGUGUUUUAAAGGGGGGGGGNNNNGUUUUUUAAAANUUNNNNNNNNNNNNNNNNNNNNNNGGUUGNUUGNCCGGNCUUCCNAUNGGNGNNANCNCNGNUGGUNAANUUUUNUUUNNNNCNNGNAANUUUUNCCUUNGNNNAAAANNUUUUUUUGGGGGNCCNAGNNNNUUUUUUUUCGCUCUAGGUUCGGAUUCCUCGGCGGUUCGCACCCUUCUCGCGUCCGUCACAACUCUUCUUAGAGGGACAAGCGGCGUCCAGCCGCGUGACAGUGAGCAAUAACAGGUCUGUGAUGCCCUUAGAUGUCCUGGGCCGCACGCGCGCUACACUGAAGGAAUCAGCGUGUUUUUCUCCCCCUGUCCGAAAGGACCGGGUAACCGCUGAACCUCCUUCGUGGUUGGGAUUGGGGACUGCAAUGAUCCCCAUGAACCAGGAAUCCCUAGUAGGCGCGAGUCACUAGCUCGCGUCGAUUACGUCCCUGCCCUUUGUACACACCGCCCGUCGCUACUACCGAUUGAAUGAUUUAGUGAGGCCUUCGGACGGGUUCGUCGGGGGCUGCGGCGAGAGGGGCAACUNCUCGAGCUGUGGCUCUAACUUAACGAUGAAACUGNAAGAUGUCCNAANUUGAGCNUUANAGAAGUAAAAGUCGAACANUCCC
rnacentral:rRNA from 1 species